AGUGAACGCUGGCGGCGUGCUUAACACAUGCAAGUCGAACGAGAACGGAUUAUAGCUUGCUAUAAUUGUCAGCUAAGUGGCGCACGGGUGAGUAAUGUAUAGGUAAUAUGCCUCUUACUAAGGGAUAACAAAUGGAAACGUUUGCUAAUACCUUAUACUCCUUAUUAACAUAAGUUAAUAAGGGAAAGAUUUAUUGGUAAGAGAUUAGCCUGUAUUGUAUCAGUUAGUUGGUGGGGUAAUGGCUUACCAAGACUAUGACACAUAGCUGGUUUGAGAGGAUGAUCAGUCACACUGGAACUGAGACACGGUCCAGACUCCUACGGGAGGCAGCAGUGGGGAAUAUUGCACAAUGGACAAAAGUCUGAUGCAGCAACGCCGCGUGGAGGAUGACACAUUUCGGUGCGUAAACUCCUUUUAUAUGAGAAGAUAAUGACGGUAUUAUAUGAAUAAGCACCGGCUAACUCCGUGCCAGCCGCCGCGGUAA
rnacentral:rRNA from 1 species